rnacentral:lncRNA from 1 species
AAGCCAUCACAGCAGUACAGGCAGGAGGGGAAACCGAAGCCUCUUCCACAAAGGUAGAGGAACUAUCCUUCUUAGGGACUAUUACAUUGGCUUCAGGUUCCUUUCCUUUACGAUGGACUGUGUUUUGCUUCGCAGGUUGAGGCAGCUGGAGACAAUUUUUCAUAAUGUGGCCAAGCUCAUUGCAAUGUGAGCAUGUAGGAGGGACCCAAGGGUAACUAACCGAGACCUCCACCACUUCACCAGAUUGUCGUGUGUAUUCAACUACUGAAGGCAGCGGCUUGGUGAGGUCGACAGCAACUUUAACAUGAGACAUUGUCAGGCUGACCAAGUUAAGGAUGAAAUCAUCAGUCUCUUUGGGCUCUCCAACAAGUCCAACUAUUAAGCUAUAACCUUCAGAGUGCCUCAGGUCCAAAGGAAUUCCUUUGAGGUGUGCCCAUAUUUGAACAGAUUCUAGAGGAGGAGAGGUAGUGGAAGCAGAGGAAGACCAUUGUACAGCUUGAAACAUGGAAUCCCUGACAUACCAGACUCGUUUUUCCAGUAUCUUCUGCCUAAGAUAGUCUGAUGGGAUCCUUACAAGUAUAGAUCGUGUGUGAGGAUUGGAAUGAAUCUCAACGCGAGUACCUUUACCCCACAAAUGGUUUAGAACUUUUUGGGUAUGGUUGAAAGGCGGUGGGCGACCAUUGAAAUAACACACGAUGAAGUCCUUAUGCAUUUCAGCUCCCUUCUUAAACACUCUAUCAGGGAUGAGCACACAAGGACGACCUGAUUCAGAGACAGUGACUGGCGCAAGUCUACGGAGGGUCUUAUCCACAGAUUUACGGAGCCUUUCAGCGAGAUUUGGGUGAGUAUUUGAAGCUGUUUCAGCA